GUGAGAAAAACUGAAAAAGAGACCCCUUUCCUAUAGAGGCUCACGAAGGGGAAAUUGCAACUGUGCGACCCUGUCUGCUAGCUUUCUCUGUCACUUCAUCCCCCAUUCCUGUUGCUGUGUGCACUUUUAUCCAACCCUCUUAAUGUCCAUGGCUGCGCUACCAGCAAAAUCUAACCCCAUCUGCUUGGCUAAGCUUCUUGCGCUCACCUAUACCUGAGGAGUACGACAUCAGGCUUCAGGGCUUAUUGAAGUCAUUACUCACAUCAUUGCACUAAUCACAAACAGAAGUGAAAGUUGUAAAUUGUAUAUAAUUACAUUUCAUAGAGAAAAAAGUAGAUUUAAAAAUGGCAAUUAAUAUUCUUAAUAGCCAAAAGUUAUUGCUAAUUAAUAAGAAAAACAUAAGCACUCCAAUUGAAAAAAAAUGAGCAAAGGUCAUAAAGACAUAAAACUCGCCUGUGGAAACAUACGUAGAGGAAACACAGAAUUAGUGAGUGUGUGUAUGGAAAUAAAUGGAAGGAUAAUGCUUGCUACCCAGUGUGGGCUUUGGGGGUAGAUCUACCUGGACUGAGUUCUGGAUUCACUAUUUACUAGCUCCAUGACCUUCAGCAAAGUAACCUCUCUAAGCCUUUGUUUUUAUCUGUAAAAUAGGGAUACUUAUUUUCCCUGCCUUGAGGGGUUAUUGUGAGGAUAAAAGAAAAUAAUUCUGUAAAGGGCUUAGUAAAGUGCCUGGUGCAGAGAAAUUUUUCAGUGCAGAUUAGCAAUUGUCACUGCUAGUAGUAUAUUUGCAUUGAUAACAAUUAGUAAUUUAACAUCUCACUGAAAUCAAAGAAAUGCAAUUAAAACAACAAAUACAUAUUAUUUGUUACUUAUCAGAUUGGAAAACAGGUGAAAAGAUUGACAGUAACCACUGUUGGUUAGAUGUGGAGAGAUGGGUUCUCUUGUGCAAUUCUGGGAUGGUAGGACCUGAUGCCCCAUUUCUGCAGGGCAAUUUGGCAAUAUACAUUAACGUUGAACAUUCUGAUAGUUUUUGACCCAGUCAUUCUUCUCUCAGAAACUUAUUCCUGGGAGAUAACUGAACAAAUGCACAAUAAUGAAUAUAUAAGAAUGUUUAUCCUGGCAUUUUUUUUUAUAGAAACAAAAAUUCAGAAGCAACUUAAACAUCCUUCAGUGAGAUUGACUAAUAAGUCCUGCUUCAUUUUUAUGACAGAAUGCUACUACUAAUAGCAGUGUUCUAGAUUUUCAUCCACCAUCAUGGAUAAAGCUCUCCGUCAUGUGGAUGGCAGCAAAACCUUACACAAAGAUCUACACGUUGAUUUCGCUCCUAUGAACUGACUUGGAGUUAUGUUCCAAGAACGCAUCACCACAGCUUGCUUCCUUUUCUUUCUUCCUUGUUUGUUACUCAGAAGUGUUUCUUCAUUCUUUAGUCUAUGAUUCAUGCAAGAAGACAGAACCAAUGUUUUGCAAGACCUUCCCAUGAAGUAGAAAGAACAGUAGUGUUCACUCCAUAAGAGGCGUGCGCUACCACUUGCCUUGCCUCAUGGGCAAUGAGGAAGUUGCAUGGGUUUCCUACGGCUCUGCAGGGGUGGAGUGAGCCAGAAAGAACUGGUCAGCCCUAGACAUUCAGGUGCUAUCAAAUACCAGCCCUAGGGUCAAGAACACUUAAAAACAAAACAAACUUGAAACUUCCUUUGCUUGUGUUGCUUAGAAUCACUGCGGUAGGAGGAUUCCUGAGGCAUUACCUGGAUAGUCUCAUCUGGCUGGACAUGCAGGAGAACUGGGAGACUGCCGAGACUGCCACGUGGGUUUUGGAGGCUGAGAAGUCCAAGACUGAGGGGCUGGCAUCUGACGAGGGCCUUCUUGCUGCUUCAUUCCACGGCAAAAUGGCAAAGAGAAGAUGAGAAGAAAGGCUCAAAGGGACGGUGGGACUUGACUGAGGACCCAGCACCUCCUGGACCUGAAUCAAGGCCCUCUGUCCCGCUGCUUUUGUUGUUGUUUACCCUGCAACUUCACAGCCCUUCAGAAGGCCCUGGACAUCAUGUGCAAGCUCCGUGGAUGGCCUGAGAUUCAUCCUUCCAAGUUGUUUUCUGACUGAGAGGCAACAUUUUAAAUUGUGAUCCCCCCUUACCCCACCACACACACUGAAACAAAAGUUUCAAGAAGUCAUUACCACACAAUGACUCAGAUAUGUUCUAGUCUAGUCUGUCUAUUCCAUUCCAUUCCAGUCUCUUUCCAAACGAAAAUAAAAGGAAGGAAAUGCUGCAUGCGACUUGGUAAGUUAAUUUCAGGACACCUUGGGACUGCUUCCUGCUGCAUGAGGCAUCAGCACACAGCAGGGGAUAUUUUGCAUUCCUGUGUGCACCGUGGGUUAGACAGGCUGCUUGGCCCUAAGUGGAGAAUGGAACUCCAGUAGAAAGGCUGAGAUGCACUGCAAGUAACCACUGCAGAAAGGAGAGGAUGCCCACAGGCAGGCUGAAGUGGACCCGUGUGGAAGGAACACUUCAAGACCACUGGCCAAGAGACUUCCUUCAUUUUUAUCCCUUCCUGUUUUUCGCCUGUGCUGAGGAUUCACCACCAGUGUGGGGAGCCUCUGACUGUAAAAGGAAAGCUGACUCUGGCUCCUUCGUGUUUUCUGUUAAGUUGGGGCCUAAGUUUUUCUGCCAGCCUUUGCGGAGGAAAUGCAGCUUCCCUGGCACACUGCCCGGUCAAGGGACGUUGAAUCCAUUGCAAUCAGCAGUUGAAGAUCCACACUACAGGCCAUGUUCUUAAAAUAAGUGGCUCCAGGACUUCCAAGAGGCAGAAGGGGCUUCAGCUGGCCAUGGGCAGGAUCCAAGUGGAGCUUCAUCCCUGCAGAGCAAUGCCUGGCUCUCAGCGGAGGCAGUCUGGAGCAGGGCUUCUACCCUUUUCAGCUCAUAGAUUACUUUGGAAUCUGAUGAACACUGGGAGCCUUCUCCUUAGAAGAACAUACAUAUGCACGAGAAUGAGACAAUUACAUAACAUUCCUUGGGUUUCACAGAUGCUGAAGCCAAUGACUUGCUUGAAGCCUGGAAGAGGGUGUUGACCUGGAGAAUCCUAAAGGCCAAAAUUUAGAGAAAAUGGUGCCAGUAAAUGAAUUCACAAGGAGAAAUGCUUCCUUGCCAACUCACUUCUCCAGAUUAUUGAGUGCAUCUAUCUGUUUGCUUUUGGCUUCACGCAAUUGGCCCUCUUCAGUUCCGUACUCUUUCCUAAAUACCUUGCAAGUUUUCCUCUUCUCUCAUGCCAUUUAUAAUAUGCUGACGCCUGAUUAGAGGAAGGAAGGACUCAGCUGCACUUGCACUGGGGGAAGGGCCACUUACAGGAAGCCUACCUGGGGCUGAGCUGGGUCUCACUGCCUCCUAGACCUAAGGGCCCCAGCUUUUCCCUCAUCUCUUGUUGCAGCCACCACUUGUUCUAGAUCUGCAUCCAUAUCUGUAAAAUGGGGGUGAUAAUACCUUCCCAUAAAGUCACUGUGAGGAUUAAAUGUCCGGCACAAUAUUUGAUGCAUAGUGGUGCUGAAUAAUAUUUAUUGUCAUUACUAUCAUUAUUAUUGGCUGCUACCUUCAUUUUGAAAUUCUAUCCAUGAGCUACAUUAAUUAACCUGCAUUCAGUGUCAGGAUGUAUUUCUUAAUUUAGAUUUUUAAAUUUUUAGAGCAUGUGGCUAACCAUGAAUGUUGCAUUUUCUCAGUACCUAUUUAUUCAUAUGAAACUAUAGGUCUGGGCUCAGAGUUCAUCAAUAUUUAUAGAGAAGGCUCUACCUGUUGAGCACUGUGCUAGGCAUCCCCAGAGAUGCUGGCCUACUUCAUGCCUUAGGCAGCCCCACACGUGAGCAUUACUAACCCAUUGCUGCUAUGAGAGCAUUCAGAAAGAAAGCAGUUUAAGUUGCUUGACUAAACUGGUAGAGUUGAAAUUAAACUCUGUCUCUUCAUGUUACUGGACUGCUUGGAUAUCUACUUUCAGAAAGACUACAGCUUGAUAUAAACAUUGUAGUUUUGCUCAUGGAAAACUUACAGUAAAUCUGGGCUGUUUCAACACAACUGUCAAACUGUUCACCUACAGCUGUAUUUUCUCUUGCAAUGGGUGAAUAAGGUACAAUGAUGGUUGUACAGACCAUUACUAUUAUUACCUGUUAAUUUACAUUUAAACAGAUUUAUAAUUUCUGGCCCUGAUUUCCAGUCCAGUAUACAGCAAAAAUCCAUAUUUUAAACUAAAAAUAAUGUGCUUUUCAUAAAAUCAUAAAGAAACCCACCUGGCUAUUGUCUGGGGACUUGCGAGAAGGAUCCUUUGUAGUUUUCUUCCAUGUCUUCUAAGGAAUAGUUUGGAACACAUAGUAAAUAGUCAAUUAAUACCAAAGGGCAUUUGCAAAACUAUCAACUCCCAGUUUAUAUAAAGGACCAGCCACCAGAAUUAUACAUGAAUUAAAAAGUUAGCACACCAUAGUCAGAGAAGGACAACUUGGGAAUAGUUGUGUAACAGCCGUGAGGGUAAGCGAAGGGUCUGUCUACCUGUGCCUUCCCAGAAUACUGCCUCUCUUCUGGUCUGCUUUGGGAACAGUCAACAGGAAAGAAAAAGUAGACAGAUAGAGUCAGUGCGCUGAAUAAAAGAAGAUUCUAGAUCACUACAAGAGGCUUGUCAUUUGAGGCAAAGUGUCUGAGAGAGGAAGGUUUUUAUGGCCUCAAUGGGGAGACUGGUCACUGAUAAAGCGUUCUGGAUCUUUUGUGGGCCGGAAGAUAAGUUGAGUUUUGGUUAAUGUUUAAUGAUGCAGAACAAAAGUCAUAAAUAGUCCAUGAGAAAUAAGAGCACAAAUGAUUGGGAUUGGACAGUUUGCUUAUUCAGCUGCAAAAUGUGCUGUGUUCUAUUCUUGUCAUCCCCCCAUGGUAUAACAAAAUGCAGUGUGACAAGGAAUAUAAAUGUCCCCUAAUGCAUGGGCAGCUUUUUCUGUUCUAAGAGAGUCAGCAUGAGUCACUCAGCAGGUGAAAAAUGUUUAAUUUAGAGAAAAUAGGAUAAAUAGCAAUAGCUUCC
rnacentral:lncRNA from 10 species